CACAGAUGCCAGAGUAAGUACAGACUGUGACAUUACAGUAACUGGACAAGAACAUCUGCGCAAGGAUGAAGACUUUACAUGCAAUGCUGCUGAUGCUGUUUGUUGCAUCAGUCUUUUCAAAACCACCUUACCCGCGCAGAAGAUCUGAUUCAUCAGACUCGGAGGGUUCGGAUGAAAAU